UACGGAGGGUGCAAGCGUUAUCCGGAUUCACUGGGUUUAAAGGGUGCGUAGGCGGGAUAGGUAAGUCAGUGGUGAAAUCUUCGAGCUUAACUCGGAAACUGCCUUUGAUACUAUCUAUCUUGAAUAUUGUGGAGGUAAGCGGAAUAUGUCAUGUAGCGGUGAAAUGCUUAGAUAUGACAUAGAACACCUAUUGCGAAGGCAGCUUACUACGCAUAUAUUGACGCUGAGGCACGAAAGCGUGGGGAUCAAACAGG
rnacentral:rRNA from 1 species